rnacentral:rRNA from 1 species
UACAGAGGAGCCAAGCGUUGUCCGGAUUUACUGGGCGUAAAGGGCGCGUAGGCGGUCAGCACAAGUCAGUUGUGAAAUCUCCGGGCUUAACUCGGAAAGGUCAACUGAUACUGUGCGACUAGAGUGCAGAAGGGGCAACUGGAAUUCUCGGUGUAGCGGUGAAAUGCGUAGAUAUCGGGCGGAACACCAGCGGCGAAGGCGGCAUCCUGGCCCUGACCUGACGCUGAGGCGCGAGAGCGUGGGGAGCGAACUGG